UGAUGGUGUAUGAUGGUCGAAGUGCGUCAGAUGGUUGUCGGAUGGUGUAUGAUGGUGUAGGGUGGUUAUACAGGGAAGGGUUGUCAGAUGGUGAAGAUGGUACAGAUGGUGUAUGAUGGUCGAAGUGUGUCAGAUGGUUGUCAGAUGGUGUAUGAUGGUCGAAGUGUGUCAGAUGGUUUUCAGAUGGUGUAUGAUGGUGUAGGGUGGUUAUACAGAGAAGGGUUGUCAGAUGGUGAAGAUGGUACAGAUGGUGUAUGAUGGUCGAAGUGUGUCAGAUGGUUGUCAGAUAGUGUAUGA
rnacentral:lncRNA from 1 species